rnacentral:rRNA from 1 species
CUGACCUAGCGGCGGACGGGUGAGUAAUGCUUAGGAAUCUGCCAUUUAGUGGGGGACAACAUUCCGAAAGGAAUGCUAAUACCGCAUACGUCCUACGGGAGAAAGCAGGGGAUCUUCGGACCUUGCGCUAAAUGAUGAGCCUAAGUCGGAUUAGCUAGUUGGUGGGGUAAAGGCCUACCAAGGCGACGAUCUGUAGCGGGUCUGAGAGGAUGAUCCGCCACACUGGGACUGAGACACGGCCCAGACUCCUACGGGAGGCAGCAGUGGGGAAUAUUGGACAAUGGGGGGAACCCUGAUCCAGCCAUGCCGCGUGUGUGAAGAAGGCCUUAUGGUUGUAAAGCACUUUAAGCGAGGAGGAGGCUCCUGUAGUUAAUACCUAUAGAGAGUGGACGUUACUCGCAGAAUAAGCACCGGCUAACUCUGUGCCAGCAGCCGCGGUAAUACAGAGGGUGCGAGCGUUAAUCGGAUUUACUGGGCGUAAAGCGUACGUAGGCGGCUUUUUAAGUCGGAUGUGAAAUCCCUGAGCUUAACUUAGGAAUUGCAUUCGAUACUGGGAAGCUAGAGUAUGGGAGAGGAUGGUAGAAUUCCAGGUGUAGCGGUGAAAUGCGUAGAGAUCUGGAGGAAUACCGAUGGCGAAGGCAGCCAUCUGGCCUAAUACUGACGCUGAGGUACGAAAGCAUGGGGAGCAAACAGGAUUAGAUACCCUGGUAGUCCAUGCCGUAAACGAUGUCUACUAGCCGUUGGGGCCUUUGAGGCUUUAGUGGCGCAGCUAACGCGAUAAGUAGACCGCCUGGGGAGUACGGUCGCAAGACUAAAACUCAAAUGAAUUGACGGGGGCCCG